rnacentral:rRNA from 1 species
UACGAAGGGGGCUAGCGUUGCUCGGAAUCACUGGGCGUAAAGCGCACGUAGGCGGAUUGCUAAGUCAGGGGUGAAAUCCUGGAGCUCAACUCCAGAACUGCCUUUGAUACUGGCGACCUUGAGUCCGGGAGAGGUGAGUGGAACUGCGAGUGUAGAGGUGAAAUUCGUAGAUAUUCGCAAGAACACCAGUGGCGAAGGCGGCUCACUGGCCCGGUACUGACGCUGAGGUGCGAAAAGCGUGGGGAGCCAAACAGG